GUCUAAUCUGCCCAAUGAAAAUUUUAAUGGCUGCAGUAUCAAUAACUGUACAAAGGUAGCAUAAUAAUUAGUUUUUUAAUUAAAAACUAGAAUGAAAGAUUAAAUGAAAUAUAAACUUUAUAAAUAAAAUAAAAAUUAAAAUUAAAUUUUAAGUUAAAAUUCUUAAAUAUAAUUAAAAGACGAGAAGACCCUUUAGAAUUUUAUAUUAAUUUAAAUUAAAAUUAAAAUAUUAUUUAUAUAAAUUUAAACUAAUAUUUAAUUGGGGUAAUUUUUUAAUUUAAUAAACUUUAAAAUAAUAAAACAUUAAUUUAUGAAUUUAUAAACCUAAAAUUUAGAAUUUUAAAAUAAAUUACCUUAGGGAUAACAGCGUAAUUUUUUUUGAAAGUUCACAUUUAUAAAAAAGAUUGCGACCUCGAUGUUGAAUUAAGAUUAA
rnacentral:rRNA from 1 species